rnacentral:misc_RNA from 1 species
CUCUCUCAUUCUGCAGCAGAAGCAGAAUCGUAGAACCUACGUCACCAACAAUGGAGGCAACUUUGAAGCUCCGGUUCUUCGCUGUCGCCGUCGUGGCCGUGCUCAUGUUGGGCUCUGUCGUUGAGAGGGUUGCGGCUGUCGAGGCACCGGCGCCUAGCCCGACCUCCGGUGCUGCCGUCUCUGCUCCGGCUGCCGCCGUUGCCUCCCUGACUGCUCUGGCCCUCGGGUUCCUCUUCUGUUGAGCUGCUGAGGUUGAGGUUUUCAUUUAUAUGUAUGUAUGAUGUGUAUUCUUUUGGUGUUGGGUGGAUAUUGUGUUACACGAAUUUUCUUUACUUUGUAAUCUUUCUCUUUGAGAUUGAUUCUUUUUAUCAGAGAUAGUGCAAUAAAGGAGAUACUUGUUUGAUU